AACGAACGCUGGCGGCAUGCUUAACACAUGCAAGUCGAACGAGAACUCCGGGUCUAGUGGCGCAGGGGUGCGUAACGCGUGGGAACCUGCCCUUAGGUUCGGAAUAACUCCCCGAAAGGGGUGCUAAUACCGGAUAAUGUCUUCGGACCAAAGAUUUCUCGCCUUUGGAUGGGGCCGCGUUGGAUUAGCUAGUUGGUAGGGUAAAAGCCUACCAAGGCGACGAUCCUUAGCUGGUCUGAGAGGAUGAUCAGCCACACUGGGACUGAGACACGGCCCAGACUCCGACGGGGGGCAGCAGUGGGGAAUAUUGUACAAUGGACGCAAGCCUGGUCCAGCCGUGCCGCGUGAGUGAUGAAGGCCUUAGGAUUGUAAAUCUCUUUUACCCGAGAUGAUAAUGACGGUACCGGGAGAAGAAGCACCGGCUAACUCCGUG
rnacentral:rRNA from 1 species